AGAUGCAGAGUGCAGGAGCAGCUGCCUUAGGUGCAGAGUGCAGGAGCAGCUGCCUUAGAUGCAGAGUGCAGGAGCAGCUGCCUUAGAUCCAGAGUGCAGGAGCAGCUGCCUUAGAUCCAGAGUGCAGGAGCAGCUGCCUUAGGUGCAGAGUGCAGGAGCAGCUGCCUUAGAUGCAGAGUGCAGGAGCAGCUGCCUUAGAUGCAGAGUGCAGGAGCAGCUGCCUUAGAUGCAGAGUGCAGGAGCAGCUGCCUUAGAUCCAGAGUGCAGGAGCAGCUGCCUUAGAUGCAGAGUAAAGAUGUGGUCUAAGGGACACCAUAGUGCGAGAUGUUAAACUGCCCUGAUGAUUCGUGGGGAAAUUGAAGGUUUAAAAAAAAAUACCUAAAAAGCUUUGCUGCUGUAUGCAAUUGACUUAUCAACUACCAAUAUUUAGGAUUAACAACAACUCUGACUAUAUCACCACUGCAUGUUUCCAAAUUGUCCAGGUCACUGUAA